rnacentral:rRNA from 1 species
GUGUCAGCAGCCGCGGUAAUACAGAGGGUGCAAGCGUUAAUCGGAAUUACUGGGCGUAAAGCGCACGUAGGCGGUUUUUUAAGUCAGAUGUGAAAGCCCCGGGCUCAACCUGGGAAUUGCAUUUGAAACUGGGGAACUAGAGUGUGUGAGAGGGGGGUAGAAUUCCAAGUGUAGCGGUGAAAUGCGUAGAGAUUUGGAGGAAUACCAGUGGCGAAGGCGGCCCCCUGGCACAACACUGACGCUCAGGUGCGAAAGCGUGGGGAGCAAACAGGAUUAGAAACCCCAGUAGUCC